UACGGAGGGGGCUAGCGUUGUUCGGAAUUACUGGGCGUAAAGCGCGUGUAGGCUGCUUCGCAAGUCGGGUGUGAAAGCCCUGGGCUCAACCUAGGAAGUGCACUCGAAACUGCGAAGCUUGAGUCCUGGAGAGGAAGGCGGAAUUCUCGGUGUAGAGGUGAAAUUCGUAGAUAUCGAGAGGAACACCGGUGGCGAAGGCGGCCUUCUGGACAGUGACUGACGCUGAGACGCGAAAGCGUGGGGAGCAAACAGG
rnacentral:rRNA from 1 species